GAAGCUCAGAUUUUUCUUCCCUACUUGUUUCUUCAUCACUAUUUCAAGAUUCCUCAGAAGCUGAGAUUGUCCUCAAAAAUUAAAUAUAAAACAAAUCCCUUUAUCCAAAAUUUUAUCAGCCUCUAAAAUUUGUCUGUAAAUUUGCUUCCCAGUUUUAAAAAAAAAAAAAUUCCUAGAAAUUGCAUCUCAUUAUCUAUUUCGUCCAGCUAACAUGGAUUUAUACAAUUGUAUGUGUACAAAUCUCACUCCCAUAUAGCUAAUAUCAUCCGUUUCAAUACAAAUCCCUCUACGUAUGGAUACAUAUUUUUAUAUGCAUAUAUAAAUAUGCCCAGUGUUGAUCAUUUUACAGAUUUCAUCAAAGGAUUUAACCAGCCAAAUGCCAAUGUGUUGACACGGCGUAGUUCGAAUUUUGGGUCUAUAGUUGUUGCUUUUAUUAGUAUUAUGUGGCGUGUUUCAUGACAGGAAUUAGUGGAUUGGGAAACUUUUAUUUGAAAAUCUGGGAUUCUAUAUGACUGUCUACGGUUUUGAGUGAUGGUGGUGUCAGGGAAUGACCCGGUUGAAUCGUUUUUGAACUCGAUUCAGCUUGGGAAGAACGAGUUUUCCCUGGUGUUUCCAAAAUGGGAAAUUGAUUGGCAAUACUUGUUAGGUUUUUUCCUGGUG
rnacentral:lncRNA from 1 species